CAUUAAGUGCAGGAAAAGAAACCAAAAGGGAUUCCCUUAGUAACUGCGAGUGAAACGGGAUGAGCCCAGCGCCGAAGCCGGCAGUUGAGAGACUGUCGUGCAAUGUGGCGUUCGAGAGGACUCAAUGUCGGCGUGCAUCGGUCGGUUGAAAUCGUCUGGAACGGCGUCCCAUAGAGGGUGAAAGGCCCGUACGGCCGAUCGAUGUUAUGUUGACAAGUCCUCUCUAGAGUCGGGUUGCUUGCUAUUGCAGCCCUAAGCAGGUGGUAAGCUCCACCUAAGGCUAAAUAUAACCACAAGUCCGAUAGUCAACAAGUACAGUGAUGGAAAGUUGAAAAGUACUCUGAAGAGAGAGUCAAAUAGCCCGUGAAGCUGCUUUUUAUGGGAUUAAGCGCACGUGUGACACGUGUCGUUCGACAAAUAGGUGACCGACCGUUGGUUGACCGGUCGUCGACGGCCGAACUGUUUGUUCGGUUGUUGGCGUGCCGCGUCUGUACGCCGACGGUUGAGCAUCUUCCUUUGUUGGACAUUGACGGGUCGUGCCUUCGUUGUAUCGCGUCCCUAUGGCGUGUGUGCCCGCUAGCCGGUGUCGGCUGGUAUCGCUUGUGGUCAAACACAACGGUGCCAGUGUUGCGCUGAAACGGCGAGUCGUUGGUGGCUCGACAGCGUCGACGUUGGUUGCGUAAGCACGCGCUCUGGAGACUGUGCAACGGGUGGCGCUGCGUCAGCCCUCUCGGGGGUUGGCCAACGGCCUUUGUGUUGUCACGUGCGGCCCGUCUUGAAACACGGACCAAGGAGUCUAACAUGUGAGCGAGCGAUUGAGAUUGUCGAAUCUCAAACGCGCAAUGAAAGUGAAGUGUCGUCUGACGGCACGAGCGGAGAUCCGUCGUCACUCGUGGCGGCGGCGCACCCGCGGGCCACGCCAUCGGCUGGCUUGCUUUUCGGAGCACUGCUGAGGCGUGGACCUAGAGCCCACACGUUGGGACCCGAAAGAUGGUGAACUAUGCCUGGCCAGGAUGAAGCCAGAGGAAACUCUGGUGGAGGUCCGCCGCGAUUCUGACGUGCAAAUCGAUCGUCUGAGCUGGGUAUAGGGGCGAAAGACCAAUCGAACCAUCUAGUAGCUGGUUCCGCCCGAAGUUUCCCUCAGGAUAGCUGGCGCUCGUGUGAUACGGAGUUUCAUCCGGUAAAGCGAAUGAUCAGAGGAGCUGGGCUCCUUGCGAGCUCAACCUAUUCUCAAACUUUCAAUGGGUGAGACGUCUCGCUGGCUUCACUGCAGCGACGACUCUGAAUCCGAGUGCCCAGUGGGCCACUUUUGGUAAGCAGAACUGGCGAUGCGGGAUGAACCGCAUGUCGAGUUAAGGUGCCUAAGCGAACGCAAAUCAGAUACCAUGAAAGGUGUUGAUUGCUCACGACAGCAGGACGGUGGCCAUGGAAGUCGGCAUCCGCUAAGGAGUGUGUAACAACUCACCUGCCGAAGCAAUCAGCCCUGAAAAUGGAUGGCGCUAAAGCGUUCCACCGAUACUCGACCGUCGUCGGCAGGCGACGUGCAUGCCACGUCUCAAGCCACGACGAGUAGGGCGGCGCGGUGGUGAGCGUCGAAGGCGUAGCCGUGAGGCUAGCUGGAGCCGCCAUCGGUGCAGAUCUUGGUGGUAGUAGCAAAUACACAAGCAAGAUCCUUGUGGACCGAUGUGGAGAAGGGUUCCGCGCGAACAGUACUUGGACGUGGGUGAGUCGGCCCUAAGCCAACGGGUAAUUCCCGCAUCCCGUGUUGAACGUUUCUGAAUCGAAUAACAUGGGUUGAU
rnacentral:rRNA from 1 species